rnacentral:lncRNA from 1 species
AUAAGUUUGCUUACAUUUGGGUUGGAAAUUCCGAGACGCAAUGCCCUGGACAUUGUGCUUGGCCAUUUCAUCAGCCGAUGUAUGGACCUCAAUCGCCUCCAUUGAUUGCUCCUAACGGCGAUGUGGGAAUGGACGGAAUGAUUAUUAACCUUGCUAGUCUUCUGGCUGGAACUGCCACAAAUCCGUUUGGUAACGGAUAUUUUCAAGGUCCGGCGGAGGCGCCAUUAGAGGCAGCGUCUGCAUGUACUGGGGUUUAUGGGAAAGGGGCUUACCCUGGCUACGCUGGGGAGUUGUUGACGGAUUCAGUCACCGGUGGAAGCUAUAAUGCUAAUGGCGGUGGACGGAAAUAUCUGCUUCCAGCUUUAUACGAUCCUUCUACAUCGGCUUGUUCGACUUUAGUUUAAGAAAAUUUUUGUACUGUAAAAUGAAAAAUAUGGGAUUUAGUGGAGGAUAUGGUAG